GAAGCAGUCGUCUUCCGGUGGUAAUGGA
rnacentral:sRNA from 1 species